rnacentral:lncRNA from 1 species
GUUUAAAGAAUGUAUGUACAGGUAAGUGCAGAACUCAACGUAAGCUACACUGAGACAACGUAGCUUACAUCGGCGAAGUUGCUACACCAUUAGUCUUUUGUGUUACUGCGCCACGUACACCACCUUAUAUGCCCGGUUCGGCGCCGAUUGCGUCUAUGAGUUUUUCCUCGUAAAGCUCCAAAAUAGUAAAGUUCGGGUUCAAAGUGGAGCCCCCAUUUAGUGAAGCAGGAGCUAAAUAUCCCGAGUUGAAAUUAAUGAAGCCUUCGUUUAAGGCCUGUGAAAUGCUCUCUACUUGGUUGACGAUUGGUGAUCGAGUCUCAAAGCGGUUCAAGAACACACAUCAUGAUGUUGGUCGACAUUUUGAAAAUGCGUCAACAAUUUGUUAAGUUGUUUCAUGCAACUUUUUCUUUGGUUUUAAAUAACUCGGUCAAACUUGACACACAGUCUACAUAUAAUGAUAGGUGUGUUUGACUCCAAACAAAUUAUAUAUAUAAACAAAAAAAUGGGACCUAUUU